GACGAACGCUGGCGGCGUGCUUAACACAUGCAAGUCGAACGAUGAACUUGGGGCUUGCUCUGGGGGAUUAGUGGCGAACGGGUGAGCAACACGUGAGUAACCUGCCCUGGACUCUGGGAUAACUUCGAGAAAUCGGAGCUAAUACCGGAUAGGACCUUGCACCGCAUGGUGUGGGGUGGAAAGUUUUUCGGUUUGGGAUGGACUCGCGGCCUAUCAGCUUGUUGGUGAGGUAAUGGCUCACCAAGGCGUCGACGGGUAGCCGGCCUGAGAGGGUGACCGGCCACACUGGGACUGAGACACGGCCCAGACUCCUACGGGAGGCAGCAGUGGGGAAUAUUGCACAAUGGGCGCAAGCCUGAUGCAGCAACGCCGCGUGCGGGAUGACGGCCUUCGGGUUGUAAACCGCUUUUAGUAGGGAAGAAGCCUUCGGGUGACGGUACCUGCAGAAAAAGGACCGGCUAACUACGUGCCAGCCGCCGCAGUAAAAC
rnacentral:rRNA from 1 species